rnacentral:lncRNA from 1 species
AGCACGGAAGAGUAAUGUGUUGACGUUUGAAAUAUACACACAUACAACUUAUUUUGGAAAUUAGAGUAUUGAACCUUGAGAUUUUCUCUUUUAAUGAUCAAACAACAAAAGCAAAACUGUGGUAUUUAUAUGAAAAAUGUUUUAAAAAAAUCAGAGAAAUACCUUAUCAAUGGGUUAGUGAGUUCUUUGGGUAUGGAUUUGGUUUUGCCCGAAACCCGAUUUUUUUAAUGGAUUUUUCAUUUUGAAAUUCAUACCCACUCGAUGACCCGAACCGACN